rnacentral:rRNA from 1 species
GAUGAACGCUGGCGGCGUGCCUAAUACAUGCAAGUCGAGCGAACGGACGAGGAGCUUGCUUCUCUGAUGUUAGCGGCGGACGGGUGAGUAACACGUGGAUAACCGACCUAUAAGACUGGGAUAACUUCGGGAAACCGGAGCUAAUACCGGAUAAUAUUUUGAACCGCAUGGUUCAAUAGUGAAAGACGGUUUUGCUGUCACUUAUAGAUGGAUCCGCGCUGCAUUAGCUAGUUGGUAAGGUAACGGCUUACCAAGGCAACGAUGCAUAGCCGACCUGAGAGGGUGAUCGGCCACACUGGAACUGAGACACGGUCCAGACUCCUACGGGAGGCAGCAGUAGGGAAUCUUCCGCAAUGGGCGAAAGCCUGACGGAGCAACGCCGCGUGAGUGAUGAAGGUCUUCGGAUCGUAAAACUCUGUUAUUAGGGAAGAACAUAUGUGUAAGUAAAUGUGCACGUCUUGACGGUACCUAAUCAGAAAGCAACGGCUAACUACGUG